rnacentral:ncRNA from 1 species
AGAGCGGCAUGGUAAAGCUUGGUGACCCCUGGCCACUCGGAGAGCGGACCUAGCUGGCGUUGUAACACGCCGGGACAGAUUGAAAUCGGGGCCCAGGGUGUGCCGCUCU